CACAAUUUAUCAAAAUUUUAAUUCCCAAUUUAAAAAUGUAUUCACAGUCAUGAGUCAUGGCUGAGGAUUUCAACAUAAGGCAAGUCUUAAAGGCAAAUAAUGCAAGCACAGCAGAAAAUUAAAAGAACAAAAAAAGAUUUCUUAACCUCCAAUGUUGUCUAACACUGUUAUAUAUACAAUAAACAUUGUAACUUGUUUGCAAAAACAUUAUACAGUCACAUCAUAAGGUCUAUCUUUAAAUUAAAAUUGUUGAAUUUGUUAUUUAAUUAAUAUAAUAAUAAAGUUUGCAUUGAUUAAUGAGCUGCAUUCAAGAUUAUCAACAAUGAGUCCUCAAUAUGGGUGUUUUUUUUUUUUUG